rnacentral:lncRNA from 1 species
GUUCAGAGAGCCUUAGGUUUUGGUGAAGCCUGGGUUGGAUUGUCCAUAAGCAAAAUCUAAUCUAGUUGUGUGACAGUUGCCAGAAAGGAAAUCAGAAAAAAUGUUUCUGAGAGGUUAUUAGAGGAGACAUCAGAGCUUGGUGCCGUGUAAUUUCUACUCCCGUCACGUUGCACUAAGACAACCCCCCCGCCUCCCUCCCGAACUGCUUGCCGUUCCUGCCAGCCUCCCCACACGCUGUAAGGUGCAGGAGAGGUACAACUUAGAUGACUUCACAUUCCAUCUGGAACAGUGUGUCCAGCCUUAGAAGCCAGGGGAGAUCUCACCGGGCACAUCCAGGGCCAGCAACGUGCAAGGCAGCCUGCACACCUCAACAGUCCUUCUGCUGGUCCUUACACCUACAACCAGCUCGAAAAGUUACUCAGCAGUGAAAAUCAAGGCAUUUCCCAAAUGCUUUCAGUGAGGGAGAAUACUGAUGUUGAACCUCAUCAGCCUGCUGCAAGCACAUUGGUAUUCAUGCAGCGACUUCAGAGCCACACUCCUGAGCAGGGUGAGACUAAAACAAGCAGACACUUCUCCCAGAUUUGUUUCUGCAGCAGCCCAACUAGGGACCUCAUCAGGAUGAGAGAACAGAGGAACAGCUGCCGCCGUCUCCUGAGGAGCCCCCCAGCCAGGAGCUGAGCAGCCUCAAAUCCCAGAGAGCUGCUGCUGGAUCUCCCAUAGCUUUGGGCUUCCCGUGGCAGAGCUGAUCCCAGCUGGGGCUGGGAGACACCAUCCUGGCAGCAGCAUCACCUCGAGCCAGCGAGGAACCAACCCUGCCCCAAAGUGACCCGCUUCCCUCUUGGCUUUUGGGCAAAAGUUUGUUUUUCGCUGGAAAAAUUCCUCAUGAGCCUUUCUUGACACAUUUGCGUGUUACACAGUCGCUC